rnacentral:rRNA from 1 species
CAGCAGCCGCGGUAAUACGUAGGGGGCAAGCGUUGUCCGGAAUUAUUGGGCGUAAAGCGCGCGCAGGCGGUCUCUUAAGUCUGAUGUGAAAGCCCACGGCUCAACCGUGGAGGGUCAUUGGAAACUGGGGGACUUGAGUGUAGGAGAGGAAAGUGGAAUUCCACGUGUAGCGGUGAAAUGCGUAGAUAUGUGGAGGAACACCAGUGGCGAAGGCGACUUUCUGGCCUACAACUGACGCUGAGGCGCGAAAGCGUGGGGAGCAAACAGG